ensembl:lncRNA
GGGGGCGGGGUCCGUCAGGGGAGAGGCAUGGACCAAACAAGGCCGGGAAUCUCCGAGUUAGGACAGCAAAGAGACGUCACCAUCGCAGAAUCACUCCACUUGGUCUUACCCUCCACUAACAAACUGAACAAAAGCCAAAACAAACCAAAACAAAAAUGCUGUUACAAGCUCAAGUCCAACCAAACAAGGAAGUUCUUUUUAUAAACCUUCAAAUGCGAUAGCCAAGGAAAGGAACAGAAGAUUCUGAAGCAGUGCGUGAGUGGUAUGUCUCCUAACCCCAUGGCCAAAAGUAGCACUGAGAAAAGGCGAGUCAACAGAACACCAAGAAUUCUCACUAAUACACUGUAAUCUGAGAGAAGUGGACUGUUGAGUGAGUAGGUAGCCUCAGGGAAAAUCUGGGGGAGCGGCUGGGGGGGGGGAGAGAAAUGCUUUGUAAAUGUGCAUGCGUGCUAGGUUGCUUCAGUCAGUCUGCAACUCUAUGGACCUGUCAGGCUCCUUUGUCCAUGGGAUUUUCCAGGCAAAAAUACUGGAGUGGGUUUCUCUGCCCUCCUCCAGGGGAUCUUCCUGCUGUAUUCGUCCAUGAGACCUCAGGAGAGGCAGGAAGAGGUGCUAUGGCUUGGUAUCUUCCAGAGUACUGGUCUGAGGCUGGGGGCUCCAAAGCUAUAGGAUGGGGAGUGCACCACCCACUAGCUGCAGCAGGAUCUCUAACAAGGCCUCAGAGAGGCAGCGCUCAGGCCCCAUUAAGGUCAGCAGGCAGCCCCACCCAAGCCACCUUCAGGCCACAGAGAUGGGGUGGGUGGACUUGAAAGCAAUAGCCAGCUUUUAAACCAUAGCUCCCAGGGGAAGAUAAAAUGGUCCAGACAAGAUGAGCAGGCAUUUGACUCCAGAGCAAGGAGAGGUCUGCUGAAUGUGAAUGUGGCAGAUAUAAGAGGAAAGGAAAGAGCAUGGCCUCUAGGCACAUGGAUCAUAGCUGUGACAUAGGUGGGAAGGAAGGGAAGGAGGCAGGGAAAGAAAGGAACAGGAGGACAGAAGGCAAAAACAAGAUAAACAGCCCAAUCUAGAAGAAAACACAACCAAAGGAAUAAAGGCAGACUUCUGGCAAGUUCUUCCUGUUAGGGAAGGCUGUAAUAAUAGUAUGAAAUCAAUAAAACAGGAACCCAAAGACAGGAUGAUAAAACAACAAUGAGAUGAAAGAGAGAUCACAGAAGCAAGGAAAAAUAAUAAAGGACCCAAACAGUACCAUUACAGAUGUAACAAAUAAACCAGAAACAGCAAAGCACAGAAUGGAUAUGACUGGACAGCAAAGUAAUGUGUAGGAAAGACUUGAAAUACCAAGAGUAAAUGUAAAGACAUUCAAGCAAUUAGAGUGAAGGACAAAGACAAGCUACCAUAGCAUAAUUAGCAGCCCUAAAGCUGAGGUUCCAAAAAUGGAACAGCAAGAGUUAUUAAGGUAUGAAACACAGGAAGGCUUCCCCUGAAAUGAAACAAGAACUGAAUAUUCAGAUUGAAAGUGCACACCAUAUGCUAGAAGAAUUGAUACGGAAUAGCAUUGACAUUAAGACACACUGAUUUAGUAACCAAACUUAGAGGAUAAAAUAAGAAUACUUGAGAAAUCUAGGCAGAAAAAGCAAGUCAUGUCAGUGGAGGGGAAAUUCAGUCUGAACUCAGAUCUCUCCAAGGUAACAUUCAUCAAACGAAGAUAAUGAAACAAAAUCUACAAAAUUCUGAGGGUAAAAAAAUGUCAUCCCCCAAAACAUAAUGAACCAAGGAGUUGAUCUCAAUCAUGAAUUUAGGGAUACAGAACUCAGGAGUCCUUCUGGAAAAACUAGUCAAGGACAAAAUCCAACCAGCCAAGAGAUGAACCAAAAUAAGAGAAGGGGAAGAGCUGAGAAGGGGAAGUUCAUGGUAAAAGGACUGGAGCGUGCUCAGGCACUCAGUUGUGUCUGCUUUGCGACCCCAUGCUCCUCUUUGCAUCCCGCCAUGCUCCUCUCUGCAUCCCGCCAGGCUCCUCUCUGCACCCUGCCAUGCUCCUCUCUGCAUCCCUCCAGGCUCCUCUCUGCAUCCCGCCAGGCUCCUCUCUGCAUCCCUCCAGGCUCCUCUCUGCAUCCCGCCAGGCUCCUCUGGUCACCGUGUCUUCCUCCAGUGGAUCUUCCCAACCCAAGGAUCGCAUCCAUGUCUCCUGCGUCUCCUGCAUUGGCAGUUGGGUUCUUCACUACUGAACCACCUGGGAAGCCCCAAGAGGACUGGUGGUGAAGAUUAAUUCCUUUAGAUUAAGAUUUAACUGUUAGGAAUUUUA